rnacentral:lncRNA from 10 species
UCCCACCUUUUAUGUUCUCCCCCUCCAUUAACCCCUUCUCUUCCUAUUUAUUUAUUUAUUUAUUUAUUUAUUUUGAGACAGAGUCUCGCUGUAUCACCCAGGCUGGAGUGCAGUGGCACAAUCUCGGCUCACCACAACCUCCCCCUCCCGGGUUCAAGCCAUUCGUCUGCCUCAGCCUCCCGAGUAGCUGGGAUAACAGGCAUGUGCCACCACACCCAGCUAAUUUUUUGUAUUUUGAGUAGAGACAGGGUUUCACCAUGUUGGCCAGGAUGGUCUCAAACUCCUGACCUCAUGAUCCACCUGCCUCAGCCUCCCAAAGUGCUGGGAUUACAGGCAUGAGCCACUGCACCUGGCUCUCUUCCACUUUAGAGUGAGAAGUUGCUUCAGGAAGUUUGAAAGCCUGUUUCAUGGCCCACUGAGUCUCUUCUGUGCAAAGGGGGGUGCCACAGGCUUUUUUCCCCCAAGUGAAAUGGGGCUUCCAGUGGAUCGAAGAUCUGGUGUCCUGUAUGGGGGCCUCAAGGUCUUGGAGCAAGACAGUCUCAAUGUUGUAUGGGCUUGGGACCUGCAUCUGGCCCCAAGCAUCUGGAACUGUGCACUUAACCUUUCUUCAUUACCCAGACUUGGAUGGCCUUGUUGGGGUUCAAGGGAUAGGUCCUCUGUCUCUUCCUUUAAAUUAUUAACUAUUUAUUACAUCCGGAACCUGUGAGAUUCAGCACUCCCAACCAGACCCUGGGAUGGGUGAGAGAAAAGCGGGGGUGUCUCUCCCCUCCCCACUCUGCCCAGCUCUCAUCACUGUCAGACCCACCAGAGCUGAGGGCGGAGGGAUUGGGGGCUGGGGCAGCCUGGGUCCCCAUGCCCCUCUCUGUGCCUCGGUCUCCCCCCUUCCAUGGUGGGCGGGGGGGAAGCUCCAUUCUUAACCUACCUCGUUUUGGGGAGGGGUGGGACGGGGGACCAGAGUGCUGUACGGUGCUGUGGGAUCUGCAGAUGAAGCGGUGGGGGCUAAGGAAAGGUCCCCUGGCCGCCACUUCCCAGCAGCGCCUCUCCCAGGUCCCCCAGUCCUGCUCCCUGCUGAGACCCACCUCUGAUCCAUGAUUCCCCUUCAUUGCCCCCAAAUCAGGGGUACAUGGAGGGCCGCCCUGGGAGCCAGGCAGACCUCAGACCCUGGAGCCCCCAGGCCCAAUUUCCCAGCCGCUUGCCCCUCAGAUCGGAUGCUUGGCCCCCAGAUUUGGGGGAGGCACCCCAACAUAUAUCUUCCUGAUCUUGUUUCUAAGCCAGUCUGUGACCUCAAUAUUGUUAGUGUCAGUGCAGGCUGAAGUGGUGGGGGAGGAUGGGGGCCAAAGACCCAGCCUUGUCAUCGGGGGAGGGGGCACGAGAUCUGCUCCAAGAAAUGUCUGUGACAAAGUCUCAGCCUGUGUUAUUUAUUUGCCUCUGUGCACCCCACCCACUCACCUUCCUGAACUGCUAAACCAGUCUCCUACUUAAAUUCUCCCUUCUCCCAUCAGACCCUCAAGCUGAGUUUUAUAAGACACUCAACAAAUGCAUUUAUUGAGCACCUAAUUAUGUGCCAAGCCCUGUUGAAAGCACUGGAGAUAAAGCAGUGGGCAGAACAGACAAAAGUCCCUCCUGCAAAGAGCUUAUGAGCUUUAUAGUAGGGGAGACAAUAAGUAAAUGACUUAAUAUGUUAGAAAUGAUAGAAAGCAG